GACGGAGGGUGCUAGCGUUGUUCGGAAUUACUGGGCGUAAAGAGCUCGUAGGCGGCUUGUCACGUCGGGUGUGAAAGCCCGGGGCUUAACCCCGGGUCUGCAUUCGAUACGGGCUAGCUAGAGUGUGGUAGGGGAGAUCGGAAUUCCUGGUGUAGCGGUGAAAUGCGCAGAUAUCAGGAGGAACACCGGUGGCGAAGGCGGAUCUCUGGGCCAUUACUGACGCUGAGGAGCGAAAGCGUGGGGAGCGAACAGG
rnacentral:rRNA from 1 species